AUUAAUUAAUAUGAAAAUGUCUUUAAUUAAAAAUCAAGAUUUCCUUUAUUGUAUGUCACUCCUUACUUUUUUAUUUGGCAUCUGAAGGAUUCACUUAGAUUCUGUUGUACCCUCGACAUGCUCAAUGGUGUAUCUAUUUCAUUAUUUUUUUUUUGUAUUUGGCAUUUUGCUUUAAAAAAAGUCGCAGUAUUUCUUAAUAAUGAUACUAUACAGAUAAUAUAAGAUAUAUCACAACGUAAUGUAUGAUACAAAUACC
rnacentral:lncRNA from 1 species